AUACUUACCUGGCAUGGGUGAGGCCAUGAUAACACAGAUGGUUUUCCCCAGGGCCAGGCUUAGGCAUUACAUUUUGGAUGUGGGGAAAUUGACUGUCAGUUUGUUGUAGUGUUGUGGCUUCAUAUGUUGCUGUGAUGCUGGAAACUUCCACCAGUAU
rnacentral:snRNA from 1 species